rnacentral:rRNA from 1 species
AUUGAACGCUGGCGGCAGGCCUAACACAUGCAAGUCGAACGAGUGGCGGACGGGUGAGUAAUGUCUGGGAAACGGCCUGAUGGAGGGGGAUAGCUACUGGAAACGGUAGCUAAUACCGCAUACCAUCGGAUGUGCCCAGAUGGGAUUAGCUAGUGGGUGGGGUAAUGGCUCACCUAGGCGACGAUCCCUAGCUGGUCUGAGAGGAUGACCAGCCACACUGGAACUGAGACACGGUCCAGACUCCUACGGGAGGCAGCAGUGGGGAAUAUUGGACAAUGGGCGCAAGCCUGAUCCAGCCAUGCCGCGUGUGUGAAGAAGGCCUUCGGGUUGUAAAGUACUUUCAGCGAGGAGGCGUUACUCGCAGAAGAAGCACCGGCUAACUCCGUGCCAGCAGCCGCGGUAAUUC